CCAGAGGAUGCUGCAUCAUCCACGAGUGUGGCCUGACAUUACUCUGUUCGAGAUUAAGAGAGCUGACUGCUUCUACAAUCAGUGAGGGUCAACUGCAGCACCGAUGCCCACCCACCGUGGGUGGGACACUGCCAUGGUGACAGACAGCUACCUGCCUCCCAGCACCACCCCUCUCUCUCCCCCAGCAGCAGCCAUCACCAGGAGCAGCUAUCAGCAGCGAUAGCAUUCAUCAGCAGCUAUAGCGGGCCAGGGCCUACCGCACUUCAGCUGUCAGCCAGCACUGCAGCCUAAGGCCCCAUGCUCCAGGAGAGAGACAGGAAGAACCUCAUCGGAAAGAGAGCUCCCACAUGCCAGCCUUGACAACUCGACAGCUUGUUAUUAACGUAUUACAGCUAGACGUAAUCAUGGCAUUUCAUAAUGCUGCUCUACCUUAUUAAAUAGAGGAUUUGAUUGGUUUUGACUGAUGGUAUACUCUAUAACCCGAUGCCCCUCUUCAUUUAAAUGUGAUAAAACCAUUAAAACACAUACUUUGUAAAUAGCUGUAUACAUUGCUAUGUUACUUUAUUUGUAUACUUUCGUUGUUCGCUUUGUACUUUUGCAUCUACUCUAACAAGUGUAAGUGUAGUCUGAUUCUGAAGACAAAGGGUCUUGACACACGGAAAUCCAUGGUUGAUCAAUAAAUAGUGGUUUAUUUGAACAACAUAUGGCUUAUUUACAAGUGCAUUAUUGAUGUUAAAACAAAUAAAACAUUCAAAUUAAAUAAAUCAGAAAGUGUAUUGGUACAAUCCAUGUAUUUUUUUAGUUUUUUCUACAUUCAUUAUAAUCUCCAUACAAUAGAGAUUUUGAGCCAGAAGCAAGAUCUUAGAAGCAAAAAUAAUGUCUUCAUCGGGGAUUUAUGCAGUUGAGAUUCUUGCUUUCCAGGUUGAAGACAUUUACGAUCAAUCUUUUCUUGUUAACAGUCAAAAAAGGUAAUUUGUACUUAAACAUACAGUAGAGUGACACGUCGUUUAGUGGGUUUAGCAACGUUUCCAUCGUUUUUUCUUACGUUCUUGUUGGGUACUAAAAUAAGUACACACAUUGGCAACCCUAAUCCAUCAGUGGAUUAUCAGGUUUCAAUGAUUGGAUUAUUGGCUGGGCUUCUGCAUUGCAAAGAUGACUUCCAAAACGUGCCUUUUGUUCCUUCAGUGGUUUAUUUUUCAUUAUGGCUGUGAAAAAAAACUAUAUUCUAAUUAAAAAGGAAAUCCAGUGCUAAGGUUUCAAUGGACGUAAAGAAAAAUAUCUACGCAGAAUG